UGUCAAAAGAACUUCCAAUCAUUUAGGCCUAUUUCAUUUUCAGUUUCAGAUGAAAUUCUCUCGCCGUUUAGGCCAAAUAGUUUAUGUUUUUCAAUUUCAUUUUCAGGUGAAAGUUUUUCUCGCCGUUUCUCUUCGCCAUAGUCAUUUCUUCGCCGUCUCUCUUCUCCAUUAAUCUCAGGGUUUACUGAUAAUUUGAAGAUCUCUUCAAUAUCUUCACAUGCUAAUUAGAGAUGCUUUCCGUGCAUUUGUUUCAGGAAACUUUACAGGAGAUGGACUCACAGAUUCUUUGCAAGGGUUGCCAAGCACUGAGGUCUAUCAGAUUUAAGGUAUUUAAUAAAUGAAACUGCGAUUGUCAGAAUUAUCAAGUAAGUUGCGGAGAGUAUUGCAGUAGCAUCACCCUUUGGACUUUUUCUCUAAUGUGAAAGACAAUCUUUUGUAAGUUGCCGGUGGAGAAGUUUCUCUACCAUUUUUGCAAGUAGACCACAAUGCCCUCUGGUUUUUUAUGUGGAAGGACAAUAUUGUCAUGUAGGAUUUUGAUGCAACCUGCAUCACUUGGCGACUAGGCGUGUUUAAUACAAAACACGGGUUUAGCUAUUUGUACUGUUGGAGUGGACAUAUCUCAGAGCUAAUGUGAUUUUUUUAUAAGUUCCCAUGUUAAGCAAGAUUGAGCUCCAAAACAGUGGAAGUGAUGCCUUUUCCACUGUUAUAGGUGAGAGGGUCCCGGUCGUGCACUUGUUUAUGGAAGAGGGGUUACGAGAAGCAAACAGAGAAGGAAGCAGUUCUUCAAUAAUUUUGAUGGAAUAUUUUCCGUUUUCUAAUUUUAGUGAAUAUUUUUUGUUUGUGAUGUAAUAAAUGAAAUAUUUUCGUGAUGUAAUAGAUGAAUGGAGUAUUUUCGUGAUGUAAU